rnacentral:rRNA from 1 species
UUCCGGUUGAUCCUGCCGGACCCCACUGCUAUCAGAGUGGGACUAACCCAUGCGAGUUAACGUAGCAAUACGUGGCAUACGGCUCAGUAACACGUAGUCAACAUGCCCAGAGGACGUGGACAACCUCGGGAAACUGAGGAUAAACCGCGAUAGCUCAUGAUUCCUGGAAUGGUUCAUGGCCGAAAUCUAUAUGGCCUUUGGAUUGGACUGCGGCCGAUCAGGCUGUUGGUGAGGUAAUGGCCCACCAAACCUGUUACGGGGACGGGCUCUGAAAGGAGGAACCCGGAGAUGGCCACUGAGACAAGGGCCCAGGCCCUAUGUGGUGCAUCAGGUGCGAAACCCCCGCAAUAGGCGAAAGCUUGACAGGGUUACUCUGAGUGAUUUCCGUUAAGGAUAUCUUUUGACACCUCUAAAAAUGGUGCAAAAUAACGGGUGGGCAAGUCUGGUGUCCGCCGGCGCCCAAAUACCCCCACCCCGAGUGGGCGGGACGAUUAUUGGGCCUAAAGCCUCCGUUGCCGGUUCUGCUGUCCUCCCCUUACUCCAGUCUC